GAAGUUAAUUUGAAAAUAGCCUAGUGAAGCAAACAUAAAUCAGAUCAAUUCUUUUAAAAAGUAAAAGUAUUAGCAAUUAUUCCGGACCGUCUACAAAUGAAACCCGACAGACCACCUGAGGGUGCUGGAUUUAUCGAUUGGAAACUUCUGAAUCAAGCGUGUUUGAAACAUCAUAUUAACAAAGGGACAGUGUUUGAUCCGCUAAACAAAUGCGUCCUUUGUGGAAAGAAACACAUAAACAUUAUGCUAGAUCCUGGUCGCCACAACAAACUGUAUAAUUUGUAGCUGCGCACAUUUCUGCGGUCCUCGAUGCGCGUGAACUGACAGAGACGCUUGAUUAUGAAAUCAUCAGUGAAGCCCCGUUGUUUCACACUGAGAGGAUGCAGGACUGGUCUGUGUAACAGGAUUUCUUCAAGCCUUUCGGGUGCUUGCAUUUUCUGAAGUCCCAGUCCAUUAUCAGAGUAAAGGAAACCUGUCAACACAGAGUCUCAGGAGGCUUCUCGGAUGUUGAUAGAUUAUAAUGGGACUCCUGGUACAAAACAUACCAGAAUAGGAAUGAACCAGAUGGCUUGAGAAUCUGUUGAAAUGGAAACUCUGAGAACAGAGAGGAGCAUCAAGAAGAGGAGAUCAACUAACAGUAAAGUGAACUGCACUUUCUAAAAGAUCUGACUGAACUUUUCUCACUGGGCAGAGGUUUUUUAAUGGUAUGAAACAUUUCUGAGGGUAAGACUAUCGAACAUGCCAUUGUUCUUGGUUUUUUUUGCGUAACUAUUAACAGCAGAGACUGGUGCACAUCAUCAUAGUUCGGGCUGGAUUAUUUAUUUUUUUAUCUGCAGUGUUGUGCCAUUGAUAUUGUUUAUGUUGUUUGUGGUUCCCAAAGUAUGUUGUAUUCUACUUUGAAGUGACUUAAGACUUACUUUCAACUAGUAUAUUUAUAUGCAUUUACAUGUAAUAUGUAUUUUUAUUUAUUUAUUUAUGUAAUUGUAUGUACUUGGGUUUCUCUGCUUUGUUCUUAUUUUAUUGCUGACUUACUUUUAAAGUGCUUGAAACACUAUCAACAAUAUUUAUUAAAUCAAUAUUAUCUUUUUUUGCUGUAUUUACCAAAACAGGUAAUGAGGAAUGUUGAGUUCCACCUUAACUGUAUUGUGACCAUUGUAUUUCAAGGGUUAGGUGUAUGUUUCAUGGCUAGAGUAAGCUGCAAAGUGGAUCCAUAGUUGAACGUCUAACAUAAUAUGCUCUUCUGUUGCUUUUUCCACUGACAUUUUCUGUGAAACAUGUUCUGUCUCUUCAUUCUCUGUGAGAUGUUUGCUUAUGCACAUCCACUUCUGACAAGAUUAAUGAUAUUCUGCCUUAUUCUUCUGAUAAAUUUGUGUAAGAUAUCAUCUUAAAUGUA